UAAAAACAAGAAUAAAAGCAAUCUUUUCAUCUGCAUAAUGAUUGCCUUGUUUGAUUUCUAAAAAGCUUUUCAUAUCCAAAAUCAUUAUGGAGGUUGAUUUCUAAACCCAUUGAACAUAAUGAUCCAACGCCAUCUCCCAAUUUUGAGUUCCCUGUAUUUGAGGCAGAGGAAGAUGAUGUUGAAGAGAUUCCUGACGAGAUUACCCGUCUACUUGAGCAUGAAAAGAAGAUCAUUCAGCCGCAUCUUGAGAACCUGGAAACAAUCAAAUUGGGGUUUUACAGAUGUAAUAUCAAAAAGGGGGUGAAAAAAAAAUCAAAAUAAUCAAAAAUCAAAAAAAAAAAAUGUAGAGAAAAA
rnacentral:lncRNA from 1 species